rnacentral:lncRNA from 1 species
AGGUGGAAGUAGAGAUAAAACAGGCACAAUUAUUCACCUCCAAGAAUUGUCACAAGGAUUAAAUUAUAUGUAGCAUAAAAUAUAUUCAGAACAAAACCUGGAGCAUUCUAAGUGCUCCCUAAGUCAAUCACCACAGGCGUCUCACUUCCCUGCACUGUGUACUUCCAUGCAUCUGUGGCCCUCCAUCACCCACCCUAACUCCUCCUUUGUGACCCUGUGUUUUCAGUACCUCUCUACCAGUGGCUCUCUGUCUUGGUCUCCUAUUGAACUUUAGUGUUAAGUCACUCAUCACUCCCAAGUCCUUCAACUCCCUUUCCCUUAACACUGAUUCCAGACCAUUUGUGGCAAAGUUGACUUAGCUACAGAUCACUAAGAAGAGAUUUUUGCAAUUAGUGUCAUUUUUUAUGACACCAGUUGGUUUGUACCAAUUCUUAAAAAGGAAUCCUUUCCAAUGUGAGAAAAAUCUUUAAAUUUUUGCAUUUUCCAAUAAGUGAAAUGUUUUCUAAUGCUGUGCAUAUUUCUUAGAAACUUGAUUUUCAAAAUUGACCUCAAUGAAAUAUAGCAUAUGCAGAUCUAACAGUGUUGCUCUGUAAUAGAGUGCAUACUUAGCAUGAGGAGGCCCUGUAUUUAAUACCAGCGCAAGAAGAAAAGGAGAAGAUGGAGAAAGAAAAGACAGAAACAUAGUGUACUAAUCAAAUGAACUUUUGAUUAUAUUUCAAAGUAUAUUUUUAAAAUAAAUGAAUGGUAAAGUAAGAAAUAAACUAUAAAUCAAUCCUUACAAUUAAUAGUUUAUUUAGUAGACACUGAGUAGAAUCAAGCUACUGACAAGUUCAAUGAGAGUUAUCAAAAUCACAGUAAAGAGUAGAGAAAUUACUUCUGUUUUGUUUUUCCUUUAGCACAGUAGGGAAAUUAUUGAUUUUAUAGUUUGGAUAUGAGUUGUGUCCCCCAAAAGCUCUAUGUUAAUGCAGGAAUGUUUGGAGAUGAGUCCAGCCCAGUUUAAAUGGAGUGACUGGUUAGUAACUGUAGGCACACGGGAUGUGGCUGGAGAAGGUGGGCUGCUGUGGGUGUGCCUUAGAAGGAUUCAUCUCCCUUGUGGCCCCUUUCUCUCUCUCUCUCUCUCUCUCUCUCUCUCUCUCUCUCUCUCUCUCUCUCUCCUUCUUGGUUGCUGUGAAUGGAGCAGCACUCCCCCACCAAGCUCUUCCACCAUGAUGUGCUGCCUCACUUUGGGCCCUGAGCAAUGGACACAGUCAACCAUGUUCUAAAUCUCUGGAACCUUGAUCCAAAAUAAAUUUUGCCUCCUCUAAGUUGUUCUUGUCAAGCAUUUUGGUCACAGCUAUGCAAAGCUGACUAACACAAUUGCUUAAAACUUUUCAAACUAUCUAGAAAGGAAGCGUAUUAUAAUUCCCAAUACCUAACGAUGAUGUAAUGCUUGAUGAGAAGGAAAUGCUUAUUACUCUAAUUUGUUUAUUUCACAUUGUAGAUGUAUACUGAUUAUCAUAAUAUACCCCAUAAAAAUACAUACAAAUAUUAUGUCUCAAAUGUUUUUUAAAGGCAAUCAAUAAAUGAAUGAAUUCUGAAGCAACUGAAUUGAAUAAGAGUGGAGAAAGUUCACCAUGUCUGAUCUACCAUGAAUAGAUGUAGUUGAUAUGUUCACAUGCUGCUUGCCUUCCAGAGUGCUAUGAAAGAAUAUGUCCUUAAAAUUAUGAAAAGUUCACUGAUUUUACAAACUAACUAGUCUAACAGAUAUUUAUUGAGCAUCUAUUAUGUCUUGGGCUUUGUUCUGGACACUGACAAUGAUGUGAUAAACAAGGCAGAAUGACACCUGACCAAGGGCAGCACUUAAGAAUGAUAAAAUAGCUAGGCAGGACAAGAAGUAUUAUCUACCUGAG